rnacentral:rRNA from 1 species
AUUGAACGCUGGCGUCAGGCCUAACACAUGCAAGUCGAGCGGUGGGAGGGAGCUAGCUACCGCUUUCGGCGGCGGACAGGUGCAUAUUUGAUAUGAAUCUGUCUGGGACCUUGGGAUUCCGUCCGCAUGCGGGCGCGCAUACCCCAUACGGCCUGAGGCCCAACGAGUGGGAUCUUCGGAUCUUCCGCACUCACACGAGCCUAGGUCGGUUUAGCUAGUUGGUGGGGUAAAGGCCUACCAAGCCGACGAUCCGUAGCUGGUCUGAGAGGAUGACCAGUCACACUGGAACUGAGACACGGUCCAGACUCCUACGGGAGGCAGCAGUGGGGAAUAUUGGACAAUGGGCGAAAGCCUGAUCCAGCCAUGCCGCGUGUGUGAAGAAGGUCUUCGGAUUGUAAAGCACUUUAAGUUGGGAGGAAGGGCAGUAAGUUAAUACCUUGCUGUUUUGACGGUACCAACAGAAUAAGCACCGGCUAACUUCGUG